AAUCAAACCAAAAUUUUGGAACAUUUCUAAGGAAUUAUUUGGGCUCUGAUUUUAAAUCAAUAUUCUAUUUGAAUUUGGAGUUAUAUUCAUAAUAUAUAAUGAAUAUAUUUUCAAAUGCCCUGAGAUAUUUUAUGUAUAUGAGGAGUAGACCUUAAGUGACAUAAAAUUAUCCAGGGGAGUUUUGUCACUGUUUUCAAAUUUGUUUGAAUUUGAAUUCAGUGACAAUUAAAUAAAACAAAACAGAAGAAAAAUUAAAAAAGAGCAGAAGACCUACCUAGCGCUUACCUGUCCAGCCUGGCCAGCCAGCUACUGUGCGGCCUAGCCCACAGCGCCGUGCUAGUUACCCUCAACCUCCUGCCAGGAGGUUGAGAGGCGUGUGGCCACCGUGCGCGAGCAUGUGCCCCGCCACCUCCUUCUUCCCACCGCUGCCCCGACACGCCCAGACGACGCCACGACACCCCUGGCUCCCUCUCUUUCUUCUCCCUCACUCGUUGCCCUCUCUCCCCUCUGCUCUCUUCGCGAGCACCACCAAGCGGAGGUCGUCGCCGCCGACACUGCUCACCAUGGCCACAACCACCUCCUAGCCCCUCCCCCGUGUCUGGAAGGUCCAGCGCGACUUCCUCUUCCUAUUCGCCGAGCCACGCAAGCUGAGGAUCGCCAUGCUGUUGUCUUCGAGCUCGUCACCGCCGCAUCUGCUCACCGGACUUCACCGACCGAUUCGCCGUCUCCGACGCGUCUCCGAGGCCGUUGAACUGCUCUCCGGCCUUCCUGGGAGCUACCACAUCUCCCCUUUCUCUUUCUGUAGCUGUUUGUGCACCCUAGCUAGCCCCACCACCUUGCCCGAGAACCCCUCACCGCCGGCCAUAGCACCGCCGCGGCCACAGCUGCUUCCGCUCGCGUCUGAACCCAUCUACGAGCUCCGCACGUGCCUAGGAGACGAACACCACCACUAGGUCCUCCUCCCGUGCUCUGCGGCGGUGUCUUCAUCGACGCCCGAGCUCCGGCCGCCGCCUGGCCUAACGCCACCGCCGCUACAGUCCACCUCACUCCCUCCCGUGGCUACCACUGGAUGUGUGCAUGCACCAGCAAUCCAUAGCCGCAAACCCCGCUCGAAACCGUCGCCCGUAGCUCAAUCCCGAGCGGACUCCGCCGCGGCUUGAGGUCGCCGCCGGCCAAACCCCAUUGUGCUGACGUGGUGGCCUCAUUAGCGCCUAAUGACUCUGCUAACUACCCCCCUCUCUCACUGACAUAUGGGCGCCACGCCCUAAUUAACCCGAGGAUUUAUUCCCUGUUUAGUUUAGAUUAACCUCGCGGGACCAACGCGUCAGAAUUGACCCAGCUGACGUGGCCGUUGACUAGGCCCACCUGUCAGCGACUCUACCAGCACUGUGUCACUGAUAGUGGACUCUGCUCAUCAGGUUGACCUAGAACAGAUCAGUUCACCUGGUGACGUCACACUGACGUAAGGCUGACGCAAUAAAUCGAGAAAAAGGCUUAAACUUCUAAAAAUCAUAUAAAUUCAACCGUAACUCCAAAUGAAAUAAGUUAUAUAUGAAAAAUGGUCAGAAAAAUCCAAUCUAUCCAUCUGCAUUGGCUUCAUGCUUGUUUAAGCAACUUAAACCUGCUGUUUAUAUCAAAACAUGAUAAUGCACUUUAUAAAGUCAUAGUUUGAAUUUGAACUUGAAUCUUGGGUUCAAACUAACUCAAACCCAUCUAAUUAUAGUUUCAUUAGCCCAACACACUUAUUUUGCCAUGUCAUGAUCAUGCACCAUAUUGUGCAUUGCAUUGAUUGUGUUUCUUCUUUGUUUGUUGCUACUUGUCCCCUCUCAGUAGACGUGUACCGACGAUGUGAUCGAUGACACCGAUGAAGAACUAUACUAUCUUCAGAAGUGCCAGGCAAGCAAAACCCCCUUGUUCAUUUCGAUACAAUCCCACUCUCUCGUUCCUGCUCUCUUUUACUCCAUUAGGACAAUAAUGGUUCAUCUCUUACUUGCUGCGGUAGUUGAACCCCUUUUCCUUUGCAUGACAUAUUGUUGCCACAGUAAAUAGAUGAAACCCACUAGCAUGAGUAGGAGUUGUUUGAGCCCCGAUGUGCCUACUCAUUGAUGCUUGUUUGUCAUGCCUGCUAUGCUUAGAGUUGUGUCAGGUCUGAUUCAUCGGGGAUGAAUUGGAAAAGUGGUGAACAUGCCCUACUGUGUGUGAACACGAUUUGGUAAAGGUUGUGGUGAGAGGCCAUGUAGGAGUACAUGGUGGGUUGUCUCAUUGAAGCCAUCCUCAGGAACUGAGUUCUGUGUUUGUGAUCCAUGAACAGUCACUACCACUCAUUGGGAUCCUUAAUUGACCCUCUCAGCUUCUUAAUCACCCUUGUCCACUGUCUAUGAGUUGCAAGUAGUUUUUGGUGUUUGUAGUAUGCUGGAGGCCAUAGGCAGCGCUGACCCGAGGGUUGGGCUGUGAUGCGGUAGGCACGUGGCACGGUGUACCGGGCGCCCGUUUGGUGUCUCGGGAACCUUGCUCACAUCAUUCGGGGCCGUAUGUGGAAACUUCGGCCGGACUCCCUGCGGAUGGAACCUGAAUAGGCGAUAAACCUGGACUAGAGACUUGAGUGUUUAGGUAGGUCGUGGCCGACACCCUCGCUAGGCUUCCGCAUGUAGGUUGCCGAGAUACAUGACGUGUACAUGGCAGUAAGUGGCGAGAGUGUGGGCGAAGAAGUACACCCCUGCAGGGUUAACAUCAUCUAUUCAAAUAGCCGUGUCCGCAGUAAAGGACCUCUGGGUUGCCUAUAUAGUUCAUAGACAAGUGAAAGUGGAUACUCUAAAAUACGCAAGAUAAGCGUGAGUGCUAUGGAUGGCGUUCUCGUAGGGAGAUGGGAGCGGAUCCAUAGUGGUGUAUUGAUAUGGUGAAUAUGUGGACUCGUGUGCGCCACCUCAAAAGAGUUACUUGCAGUCAUAGUAGAUAAUGAUGCAUAUGUAGAUAGUUCUGAUGUAAGUCUUGCUGGGUACAUUUGUACUCAUGUUUGCCUAUUUUAUGUUUUUGCAGAGAGACUUACGUCUCACUAGUAGUUCCACGUGGACUUCGACAUUUAGCUUGUUACCUCAGCUACGAUCUUGUGCCCUCGGCAGGAUCUUGUAGAUAGUCAGGCUUCUCAGCCUUUUUCAUUUGUAGAUGUCUGUACUUAGACAUGUUAAGCUUCCGCUUGUGCUUUGACUUGUAUGCUCUGAAUGUUGGGUCUUGAGACCCGUGUUUGUAAUAUCUCGCUCCUCGGAGCCUAAUGAAUAAAUACUUGAGUUGUAGAGUCAUGUUGUGAUGCCAUGUUGUAUUUGCACAUAUCGAGCAUAUUGUGUGUAUGUUAUUGAAGUUCUUGGUAUGUGUGGGAUCUGACUAUCUAGUUGUUUAUCCUUGGUAGCCUCUCUUACCGGGAAAUGUGUCCCUAGUGCUUCCACUGAGCCUUGGUAGCCGGCUACUGCUCUGGAACACUUAGGCUGGCCGGCAUGUGUCCUUCUUCGUUCCUGUGUCUGUCCCUUCGGGGAAAUGUCACGCGGUGUCUACCGGAGUCCUGUUAGCCUGCUACAGCCCGAUUUACUGGAGUCCUACUAGCCCGGUUGCUAUAGCCUGGAUUCACUCGCUGACGACCAACACAUUCAUUGCUGGGUCAUGUAUGCCUGUCCCUGUAAGUUAGUGCCACUUUGGGUUCACGACUAGCCAUGUCAGCCCGGGUUCCUUGUCAUAUGGAUGCUAGCGACACUAUCAUAUACGUGUGCCAAAAGGUGCAAACGGUCCCGGGCCUGGUAAGGCGACACCCGUGGGAAUACCGUGUGUGAGGCUGCAAAGCGAUAUGAGGUGUUACAUGCUAGAUCGGUGUGGCAUUGAGUCGGGGUCCUAACAGUUUUGGUAUCAAAGCCUGACUGCCUGUAGGAUUACCAAGCCAAACUGGUCGAAGUUGUGUCUGGAAAUUCUUUAGUUAUAUAAGGGAAUUGAUUGUGGGAUGGAACGUAAGGCUCUUUUUACUCCUUUACCUUAUGACCUCUAAUCUGAGUCAUCCUAUCUUUCCUACGGGGUUAAGGAACUAGGCUAUCUCCUCUUUGUAUUAGGAUCUCGUGUUACUAAUCUGUAGAGUUGUAAGAUUGUUGGACUUAAGCCUUGUUUCAGUUCCUAUUACUUCCGUGUGUUCAUAGUUGGUCUCAGAAUCUUGAUAUUGUGAUGAUCGAGUGGUUAUGCCACCAUUUUGCAGGAUGUCUUAAAUCCUUUUGAGCAUUUAUAGCCGUUAUGUUGUCCGAGUCGUCCCAGGUUCCUAAACAAUAUGAUGCAUUUGCAAAUCCCUUCUCUCCGCUCCCAAAGUUCCCUUUUGCCAGAUCGACCACACUAACUAGUGUGUUGAGGUACUACCUCGGCAUUUCUACUGGAGCUAUUAUUAUGACCCUAGGUGUCUCAUGAAACCAUCUAGUAAUCUAGCCAUAUUUUGUGUUCCCAGUGUGAUGAUUCUGGCCAUCAUUCUCGAAAGCAUCCCGUGAUGCCACUUAGGAGUAGGUAUUCUAUUCCUAGGUUUUAAGCCCGAGAUUCACUUUACUUACUUCAUGUUGGUAGUGUUUGCUAGCUCCUUUAGGUUAUUAGUAACCUUUGUGAUAGUCCUCGAGGUUCGUGGUGUAUCCUUCUUCUAAAUACCAUGAACUACUUAUGGCAGAAGUUCCUCAUUGAACCAAAAGAUCACAACCAGAGUGCUCUUGGCGAGUUCUCGAUUCUAUGUUGUUACUCUGCCAGUUCUACCUUCCUACCUGGGUUAUCCAGAAGAAAUAUGUUGAACUCGUUCGACAUGCUAAUCUAUGCAUCCACAGCUCAAAAAAUCGUAUGUUCCUUUGAGUUGUCCCCCUUUAGUUAUUUUUUGGACCUCAUCUAUCAAUUGAUAGUCUGGAGUAGUUAUGCAUUCGUGUUCAUCGAUGCCACUACUCUUGUGGUCCGUCAAGCCAUUCUAUUCUGGAAUGACUAGGAGAAACAAACUCCAGUACCUUAUCCAUAUCCAGGAUUGGGUCAAAGCAGUUGUGUUCCGCAGAUCAAAUACUAAUCCAGCUUUUGUUCUGUUCUACCUUGGAGUAUUACCAUCUUUAUAUUAAUAUUAUCAUGGGAAUUUCACGCCAUCCUAUGAACUCUUGAUACAGUGAUACUUCUCACCAUCGAUAGGCAUUCCUCGGUUCCCGUGUUACUGUAACCGUAACGCCGACAAGUGAAUCAUGAUGUGUGAAAUCUAUACUCCUAGCAACUCCGUUACUUGGUAGUUAAAUGGACGAUAACCUCAUUCUUAGCAUGUUGAUUAUUGAAUCAUCACCCUAAGGUUGAUCGUGCUACCUAGUCCUUAUUUCGGUGCACUCUCCGAUCAAUGAGUUAGGAUUGUGUCAAUCCCUUGCUCUUUUGGUCAUCUCGUCUUGCCCUGAAAAGCAAGAUUGUUCUCGAGCUUAGUAACAUGUCGGUGGUUUGUGAUUUUCUGAAUAUCUUUUCGGAGGUAUCACUAGGUGGUCAUCUGACCGCUAUGUUGAGUUCCUGAACAUGUUGGUUUUCUUGUAAACCACCCUCUCCCCAAGAUUCUGUGUCGGAUACCUCGAGCUAGUUGGCUAAGCUAAACAACAACUUGGAGAGUUGAAAGAUGAAAGCUUGUCCAAUUUAGCUCAUUCUAAGGGAUAUCUUUGUGCGUGUGUGAUGAAGAAAGAUGAUAUCUUCCUUGAUUGAACCUCGUGGUCAAUUAUUUGAUCUAUUGUCUUGCCAAAACUUUGAUUUGAGUAUGGGCUAUCAUCAAAUCAAAUCAGAACCAACGAUAUUCGUAAUGUUAUCUUACUCGUGGAUGUUUCUUCGAGCAUACACCAUUUUAUCUUUUGGGUCUGACCAGUGCUAUCACUUGUUCACAUAAUUUUGGAAUUCCAUCUUCAUGGAAACCUGUAUGAAUUGUUGUUGAGCCCAUCAGCAACAUUUUUAUCUUCUCCAGGAUUUUGUUGAACAUUAAGCUAGUGUUGGAAACUUUUGAAAUCAUAUCCUCAUGCUACCUCAUGAAGCAUAUGUUCGGAUGUAAGAGGUGACCUCCUCCAGUUCAUGUGCACUUGAUGCAAGUUGCUGCCUGAAUUUGAGAAAGUCAAUGUUGCUUCCUUUGGAAUCAUCCCAAAUCGGUCAUGCAUAUGUGCGAAGUACUUUGUAGUUUGGAGACUUGCAACCUUCACGCUAUAUGUGUCCCUAGCACACCAAGCCAGUGAUUGUUUUGUUCAGGGAGAAGGAGUUCCUUCUUAAGAGCUAGACUUACGCAAGGGCUUCGACAUCCUAGAUGAUGGUUCCCACCUGAACUCGGUAGUGUUUUAUUAUAAGACUACUAUGUGGUCAUGCUUGUCCGGGACAACGUGUUCACAUGUUUGUAGCAGAACAAGAUCAUGUUUUGGAGCUUGCUAUCGUAGUUCAUUCCCCGAGAAUCUCGCAACGUCAUCUCGUCGAUUUGUGUUGAAAACUUUCAUUUUUUUUCUUUCUAGACUUGAUGAGUCUGGAAUAUCCUGACACCAACCAGAUCUAAAUCUCAGGUUGAUAUGAUGGUUGGAACGUUUCCCAUGAACUAUAAUAUUGGUCUCACUGUAAUUGAUAAAGUGGAUGUCAUAGCCAACACACCCAACCAGAAGACCUAUUAUUGUAGUAUCUUGUUUGAGGAAGUUGGCCACCUCCCCAUAAGGAUUUUGUAGGAUUUACUCCCUAGUUGUUCCCUAUGGAUUUUUGUGUUCCCGAAGUCCGGCCUUUUUACUUGAUGUUCUAGAUAUCAAACCAUAUCUAUGAAUGGAUUACACUAGCACAUCAAGGAGAACAUUAGAAGAGGAGUGCUAAAUGUCUCUCGGUCGAUCAUCUAGAUUUUGUUCCUUGGCCUCGCUAAGGUGAAAUCUGAGAAGGUGUUAUCUUCCUUUGCAUCUGCAUCGUCCAUCACUAUUAAUCAUGGUAGUAUGUUGUGUUGCCAGGAUCCUUGACACAGAUAUUGGUAAAACCUUGAUGAAUAUGGAAAUGCUCAAGUUCUUGAGAGCACGCACAAGCACUAGGUGUUAUCAUCAACACUAACUGGGAUUGCUCCCAGUUUCCUCGUUUAUGCUACAACUUUUCAAACAAUGGACUCACUCUCUACUGUUGGGUUUCUCCCCAGUUACCAGAAUCAUUCCCAGCAUUUGCAUUUUGUUCCCAGCUUGCACCGCCAAUGUGCCAUUCUCCCAUGGGCCCCAUCUAUCUCCGAUGAUAAGAAAAAUCAUCUAUGGCUUUGUCUUCAACAAGGUAAUCCACAUCAUCCAUACUAGUCUGGGUAUGUCCUUCAUUCGGACUCCUUCAAAUGAUCGAUUGUGAUUUGCCUUAAGCUGGUAUAAGGAGUUUCAACGAUCUUUGAAUCAAAGUAAUUCUUUUUUCCACUUAAGGGAUGAUUCUAUGAGUCACCUCAUCUAAGAUGUCUCGCUACGUUGACAACCAUUCACCACCCUCUUAAGUGUAAAAUUGUUGUCUACCUAGUGAACCCUCAUCAUCUAUCUCACUCGAUUCCUUCAGAUGUAUGCUUCAUGUCUCAGCUCGAGAGAUGUUUCAAUGUCUCAUUCCAUGAGUUGAUCCUGGGUUGUUCGAUCUUCGAGAAGUUCGAUCCUUCCAGAGUUUUCCCUUUCCUCUUGUUGCCAUGUUGGUUGAAGUUCCCGGAGCAAGACUUUGAGACAAAGAUGGUAAUCGAAUCGACGUUCUUAUGAAGUGCAACCUGGUUCGUGAAGUUUGUGUCAGUUUGCGUUCCCCCUUCCAUCUUACCCUACGCUUGAAUCUCGGGACGAGAUUCUUGUUUAGUGGGGGUGAGUUGUCACAUCCCUAGCUUCUGGUAAUGCUCUAGGCUAGCUUCAUGUGUGCAUCAUGUCUAGUUUUUGAAAGCUGAAAUGAGGAAAUUGAAAGCCUCGGAAAUCAUUUUAAUAAAGGGGCAAGAAAUCCUAAAAUUGCAAUCAGUAAAUCCAAAAUGCCCUAGAAAUAGUUUUGACAAUUUUGGCAAGAGUUUAAAUUAAACCAAAAUUUUGGAACAUUUCUAGGAAUUAUUUGGGCUCUGAUUUUAAAUCAAUAUUCAAUUUGAAUUUGGAGUUAUAUUCAUAAUAUAUAAUGAAUAUAUUUUCAAAUGCCCUGAGAUAUUUUAUGUAUAUGAGGAGUAGACCUUAAGUGACAUAAAAUUAUCCAGGGGAGUUUUGGCACUGUUUUCAUAUUUGUUU
rnacentral:lncRNA from 1 species